rnacentral:rRNA from 1 species
UACGUAGGGGGCAAGCGUUGUCCGGAUUUACUGGGCGUAAAGCGCGUGUAGGCGGCCACGCAGGUCCGUUGUGAAAACUAGAGGCUCAACCUCUAGACGUCGACGGAAACCGUGUGGCUAGAGUCCGGAAGAGGAGAGUGGAAUUCCUGGUGUAGCGGUGAAAUGCGCAGAUAUCAGGAAGAACACCAAUGGCGAAGGCAGCUCUCUGGGACGGUACUGACACUGAGACGCGAAAGCGUGGGGAGCGAACAGG